rnacentral:lncRNA from 1 species
CACACAGCAAAAUGUUUGGAGAUAAAUAUUUUGUGAAUAACAGAAAAGGUAAGUAAUUAUUGCUAUAUAUUAAGAACAACGUUAUGAACAUGAUGUUAUCAGACUCACAAGUUAAAUUAUUUUACCGAAUAAAGAAAUCGAAUUGUAUUCAAAUGAUAAAAACAGUCCCUGUUGUGUUUCUCAACCAAACAAAGUAACAUAUCGUGUGACACGUCACUUUUCUUCUUUAUUUUUGCUCGCUGAUGGAUGGAAAAUAAGUUCAAUUUUUGUGGUUCCAUUCAAAACUCUAAUUUGUUUUUCAAAGAAAUGUAUUGCUGGUAAUUUUGUUUUAAUCACCAGUAGAUUAAAUUCAGUUCUUUCUUUAAUAUAUUGAUAUAUUGUAUGUUUUAAUCAACACAAUUAUUGAAACCAUGUUUUGUCUAGUCUCAGCGAUAAUCAAAUUGUUGUUGUUUUACUCUCAAUAAAACAGUUUGGUUAGUUUAUAUAUAUUAGUGUUUUUUGGCAGUAGCAUAACAAUAAUAUCAGAUCACUCACUGCAAAAAUGUUAUUUUGUUUUUCAAUUGGUACGAAACGUCGCCCUUCCAAAGUUUCAAAGUUUAUAUAAGCCUUAUACAAAAACACUGAUCUAAUAUUGUGUAUUUGUACUUACAAUGUUGUUAGUAAUCAGAUCCAAUUGUGCAAUUCGAAACUUUUAUUUCAUACCAUCAAAUUUAUCAGAUGGAAUAUUAGUAAUGACUAUUUCACAUCAUAUCACUUAUUGAAAAGAAAUUAAACUUUGCAGGCCUCUUUUUGAAUAAGCAUUAUAGGCAUACACAAAGGGGAGAAGACAUCAAAAGGAAGUCAUUAGGAAUUACGACCUUUUAUUAGAGAAAGGACAAAACUUAUUUUGUUAUAACUUGUGUCAUUACUACUUUUAAAAAUGAAAUAUGUUUCAACUAAACAUUUUCGUUAACCUGAAACUAUAAUUGUUUUAUAGAAGUUGUGGUUUUACCGCAGACAAGUUUAAAUAUGGAAGUAUUAAAGUAAUAUAUACUUCCGUGAUUCUCAAUUGAGAUCACUAUGAAUGAUUGUGAUGUCCUUGACAUAGGGAGAUAGAAAGAUUUUAUCUGCCCACAACAAGGUAAAUGUUUUAGGAAGGGCGUCUCUAGAGAGGAACAUGAUAAUUUUAUCGUGGGUGAACACAUUUUCAUAUCUUCUUAUUUAGUAGUAUCAGGAUACUUAAUGUUUAAUUCCACCAUUGUCCUCUGCUUUUGAUGAAUGAAUAAGAUGAUAAAGUAUAGUUAUUAUAGUGCAGAUAUAUCAUUUGAAAGGUUACCUGCAUGUCACAAAAUAAAAUGGCCAUUUCCCACAUAGUUGUUGUGAAGAUCAGAUACGAUGGCAUAAAGUUCAGACAUCUUAUUUGGAGAUAAAAACAUUUUAAAGACUGUUGAUCUGGUCUAAACGCUAAAUUACAAAAUACAAUUAUGUAAUGCUAAACGAUGAAGUGAAUAACAAAAAAAAAAAAAAAAAAAAACCACAAACAAACAAACACAUAUGUUAUUGCAAAUCAUAGCGCUGAUAAGUGGCAGAAUAAUCAACAAUAAUUUCGUACUUAUGAUUCCAAGUGAUUCAAUAUGAUUAAGACAAAAUAUUUAUUUGGACAGGCAGAAAAAUACAACAUGCACAGUAGUUAUUCACUACUAGAUAUCAUUUGAUUUGAUUUGUGUAGGGUUGCUGUCUUAUUGAAUAAUUACAAUCUUUCUUAUAAUGCCUAGAUGCAUUAUUGAAUGUAAUUAAAAUUUUGAGGUUGUUAUUUAACAGAUUUUCUAGCACUUGUCAGAUGUCAUACUUUGACCAUAUCACAAUAUCACAGAACGCACAAUCUACUAGAAGAAACAACACUUUGCAAUUUUUUUAAAUAGCCAAUUUUACAACGAAUUAAUAAUAAAAAAUGAAUACAAAAUAAAAUUUAAAAAAACCAAUUAAAACUACAUUUAUAGAACUGUGCAUAUGAAACUUAAGCAUUUGCAUAUUGUUUUUCAUGUCAUUCAAUUUAAAUUGUAUUUUUUCCUUCAGUUUUUGACGGAAAAACCACCUUUCUUUUAAAGCUAUACCUCACGAUACCGACUGUAAUAUUUCAUGCGAUAUGUUUCCUGUAGGGGAUUUUCUGUAACAUGAAAUUGAAUACCAGACCCACUAUAGAGUCAAAACCAUCUGAGGAUAAUUGCUUAAAUAUAACAAUUAAAACAGGUACGAAGUAAUAUUGCUGUUGAUGCUGUUAAGUAAAAGAAUUCAAGUUCAAACACACACAAUCAUUAUGGAAACACUAUUUGUUUCAUGAUAUAUACGAACCAUAUUAUAUAAAGAAAAUCAUACACAGUCGAAUAUUUAUGUUUUAAGUAGCAUCUAUGAGAAUGCCAUUGUUCCCCAAAAAACAAAUUAUUCUUGCAAGAAGAGCUUGAUUAAAAAAAAAAUCACUUGCGGAAUCUUGAAAACUAUGAUGUAUUCAAUUCAAUAUAAUCAUUGCUAUCCUUUCAAAUAUGUUAAGAAUUGUAUCCGGGAUCUUUGGAAAAAUAACCUAGAAUAAUUAACUAUAUUGAUUAAAUACAACCUUAAGACGGAAAUGUUUUCAAACUGACUUUUAAGUUAUUUUGGGUUUAUUAUCAUAUGCUUGAUUACUGACAUCUACUGAAUAGCAAACCUUACUAAGCGUGUCAACUUUAAACGGAAUAAAUGAAUAAUCAAAUUUAUGAAAAAUUUUCAAGACAAGAAAGUUUUAUUGAAUACGUAGCACUAGGUAUGUAAAAUAUAAGAAUUGCAUUUUUAUGAUUUAAUUUUAGACAAAUCAUCAACAAUAUAUUUAUUUACGAGAAUAUCAACAACCAACGGAUACAAUUUCCAAUUCGGAGUGAGGCUGCAUCAUA